GUUGAGAGCAAUGGGGAAUUUCUCUCUGGGGUUUCAUUCAUUGUGGGUUAAUAUUUUUUUUACCCUUUUCAGUUAGUUAGUGGUUUUGACUGAUAUUUUGAGUGAAGAAAUGUAUCCAGGUCCCCGUGGCCUGGAAUGCUUUGGCAGCAGCAGUGCUGCAGUUUGAUGGUCGAUGCAGUCCCUGCUUAGGAGUGUUGUGCAAACUGGGCUGUGUCAGGAGAGGGGAGCAGAGUAUUAGGCACACUGACUCAGAGCUCUCCACACUGAAGCAUGAAAAUGUUUGUUUCUGUGGGUCUUAUUUGCAGCAGGGAUGCUCACUGGUGUGGUUUUGAAUGUAGGAAACUUAUUCUGGAUCUCCAGAUUUCCCUAGCCAGACUGCUUCUAGUACCUGAAGUAGAUUAAGCAGAACUGCAGCAGCUUUGAUGGACUUCAGGCUCUCUGCCUUUGGUUUUCAUUUUGGAUCGUUUUGAAGUAGUCUUUCACAGAACACUCAGGUAUGCUGAAAUG